rnacentral:rRNA from 1 species
CACGGGUGAGUAACGCGUACGGAAUCUGCCUUUGAGCGGGGAAUAGCCCUGGGAAACUGGGAGUAAUACCCCAUAGUCUGUUAGAUUGCAUGGUCUGGCAGAUAAAGCUGAGGCGCUCAAAGAUGAUCGUGCGUCUGAUUAGGUAGUUGGUAAGGUAACGGUUACCAAGCCGACGAUCAGUAGGGGGCGUGAGACGUGGCCCCCCACACGGGUACUGAACACGGACCCGAUUCCUACGGGAGGCAGCAGUAAGGAAUAUUGGACAAUGGGCGGAAGCCUGAUCCAGCCAUCCCGCGUGCUUGAUGAAGGCCCUCUGGGUUGUAAAGAGCUUUAGUCUGGGAAGAAACUUGUUUCUGCGGGAGCAACUGACGGUACCAGAAGAAUAAGCACCGGUUAACUCCGUGCCAGCAGCCGCGGUAAUACGGAGGGUGCAAGCGUUAUCCGGAUUUACUGGGUUUAAAGGGUGCGUAGCGGCCAGUAUAAGUCACGGGGUGAAAGCCUACGGUCAACCGUAGAAAUGCCUUUGAUACUGUAUUGCUUGGAAUUUAGAAUUGAGGUCGGCGGAAUUGUGGGCCUGUAGCGGUNAAAUGCAUANAAUUU